rnacentral:misc_RNA from 1 species
UUUGAUUCUGGCUCCAGUUGAACGCUGGCGGGAUGCUUUACACAUGCAAGUCGAACGGCAGCACGGACUUCGGUCUGGUGGCGAGUGGCGAACAGGUGAGUAAUGCCCAUGUCGGAACGUGCCACGGCUGGCGGGGGAUAACUGCGCGAAAGCGUAGCUAAUACCGCAUACGCCCUUCAGGGAAAAGCAGAGGGGACCUUCGGGCCUCGCACUAUUAAACGACGGCCGAUAUCGGAUUAGCUAGUUGGUGGAGCCAACGGCUCACAGGCGACGAUCCGUAGCUGGUUUGAAGGACGACCAGCCACACUGGGACUGGGGCCACGGCCCCAGACUCCUACGGGAGGCAGCGGUGGGGAAUUUUGGACAAUGGGGAAACCCUGAUCCAUGCAUCCGCGUGUGCGAUGAAGGCCUUCGGGUUGUAAAGCACUUUUGGCAGAAGAAACGGCGAGAUAUUUCCCGAUGCAAACUGACGUACCUGCAGAAUAAGCACCGGCUAACUACAUGCCAGCAGCCGCGGUAAUACGUAGAGGGUGCAAGCGUUAAUCGGAAUACUGGGCGUAAAGCGUGCGCGAGCGGUUCGGAAAGAAAGAUGUGAAAUCCCAGAGCUUAACUUUGGAACUGCAUUUUUAACUACCGAGCUAGAGUAUUGUCAGAGGGAGUGGGAUUCCGCGUGUAGCAGUGAAAUGCCGUAGAUAUGCGGAGGAACACCGAUAGCGAAGGCAGCCUCCUGGGAUAACACUGACGCUCAUGCACGAAAAGCGUGGGGAGCAAACAGGAUUAGAUACCCCGGUAGUCCACGCCCUAAACGAUGUCAACUAGCUGUUGGGGCCUUUACGAACAUGGUAAGCAGCUAACGCGUGAAGUUGACCGCCUGGGGAGUACGGUCGCAAGAUUAAAACUCAAAGGAAUUGACGGGGACCCACUGGCAGUGGAUGAUAUUGGAUUAAUUCGAUGCAACGCGAAAAACCUUACCUACCUUGACAUGUGGAAUCCCGAAGAGAUUUGGGAGUGCUCGCAGAGAACCGGAACACAGGUGCUGCAUGGCUGUCGUCAGCUCGUGUCGUGAGAUGUUGGGUUAAGUCCGCAACGAGCGCAACCCUUGUCAUUAGUUGCUACGAAAGGGCACUCUAAUGAGACUGCCGGUGACAAACCGGAGGAAGGUGGGGUUUUUCGCGUUGCAUCGAAUUAAUCCACAUCAUCACCGCUUUCGUGCGGGUCCCCGUCCAACCUUUGAGUUUUUUAAUCUUGCGACCGUACUCCCCAGGCGGUCAACUUAGAGUCGCUGCGCUACCAAGGCCCGAAGGCCCCAACAGCUAGUUGACAUCGUUUGGGCGUGACUACCGGGGUAUCCUGUUUUGCUCCCCACGCUUUCGUGCAUGAGCGUCAGUGUUAUCCCAGGAGGCUGCCUUCGCCAUCGGUGUUCCUCCGCAUAUCUACGCAUUUCACUGCUACAUGAAUCCCACCUCCCUCUGACACACUCUAGCUCGGUAGUUAAAAAUGCAGUUCCAAAAGUUAAGCUCUGGGAUUUCACGCAUCUUUCUUUCCGAACCGCCUGCGCACGCCUACGCCACAGUAAUUCCGAUUAACGCUUGCACCCCAUUACCGCGGCUGCUGGCACGUAGUUAGCCGGUGCUUAUUCUGCAGGUACCGUCAGUUGCACGGGGUAUUAUCCCGUGCCGUUCUUUCCUGCCAAAAGUGCUUUACAACCCGAAGGCCUUCAUCGCACACGCGGGAUGGCUGGAUCCAGGGUUUCCCCCCAUUGUCAAAAUUCCCCGCUGCUGCCUCCCGUAGGAGUCUGGGCCAUCUCCAGUCCCGGUGUGGCUGGUCGUCCUCUCAAACCAGCUACGGAUCGUCGCCUUGGUGAGCCGUUACCCCACCAACUAGCUAAUCCGAUAUCGGCCGCUCUAAUAGUGCCAGGCCCGAAGGUCCCCGCUUUCCCCCGAAGGGCGUAUGCGGUGGCUACGCUUUCGCGUAGUUAUCCCCCUGCAGGCACGUUCCGAUACAUUACUCACCCGUUCGCCACUCGCCACCAGACCGAAGUCCGUGCUGCGUUCGACUUGCAUGUGUAAAGCAUCCCGCCAGCGAUCAGGCGAUCAAGCC